rnacentral:rRNA from 1 species
UACCCUGAGUAAAGCGGCGCACGGGUGAGUAACACGUGGGUAACCUACCCUAGAGUGGGGAAUAACACCGGGAAACCGGUGCUAAUACCGCAUACGAUCACGAUGUCUGCGGAUGUUGUGAUGAAAGGAGCAAUUCGCUCUUGGAGGGGCCCGCGGCUGAUUAGCUAGUUGGUAAGGUAACGGCUUACCAAGGCUACGAUCAGUAUCCGGUCUGAGAGGACGGUCGGACACACUGGAACUGAGACACGGUCCAGACUCCUACGGGAGACAGCAGUGGGGAAUUUUUGGCAAUGGGGGAAACCCUGACCAAGCAACGCCGCGUGGGUGAUGAAGUAUCUCGGUACGUAAAACCCUUUCGACGGGGAAGAAAGGCCGCAAGGCUUUGACGGUACCCGUAGAAGAAGCCCCGGCUAACUCCGUGCCAGCAGCCGCGGUAAUACGGGGGGGGCAAGCGUUGUUCGGAAUUACU